ensembl:lncRNA LMO7DN LMO7 downstream neighbor
UACCCAGAAGGAUCCUGAAGCUCACAGAGGUUAUGUAGCCUGCCUAAGGUUACCCAGCUAGCAACUGGCAAAGCUAGGAGUUGCUGCAGAAUAGCAAGCCUAUCACUCACAAUGGCCAGAAAUCAGAACAAAUGAUCAUUACAAACAACCCAUGUAGACAGUUUUCUAUCGUAAGGCAGUGAUUUUUGAGUCCAUAGAUGGGCCAGUAGGAAGUCUACACUGAAAUCAGCAUUGUGCCUGAUACUGAGAGGAAUAAAGUUGAUAGGAAGGAGCAAUCAGAAAGCUUUGGCUGAAAAGAAUGAUUUAAACCACUGGAGAAAA